AUUGAACGCUGGCGGCAGGCCUAACACAUGCAAGUCGAACGGAGUGGCGGACGGGUGAGUAAUGUCUGGGAAACUGCCUGAUGGAGGGGGAUAACUACUGGAAACGGUAGCUAAUACCGCAUACUAUCAGAUGAGCCUAGGUCGGCUUAGCUUGUUGGUGGGGUAAAGGCCUACCAAGGCGACGAUCCGUAACUGGUCUGAGAGGAUGAUAAGUCACACUGGAAUGGAGACACGGACCAGACUCCUAAGGGAGGCAGAAUUGGGGAAUAGUGGACAAUGGGCGAAAGCCUGAUCCAGACAUGACGAGUGUGUGAAGAAGGUCUUCAGAUUGUAAAGCACUUUAAGGUGGGAGGCGUUACCAACAGAAUAAGCACCGGCUAACUUCGUGCCAGCAGCCGCGGUAAUAC
rnacentral:rRNA from 1 species